CGGAGCGGAAACACGGUCGUUAAGGGAAAUGGAGGAAAGUAAAAAUAAUUGUUUUGGAAAAGAAAAUCCGAUGGAAGUUUUGGGCCAGUGAAAGAAAUGCAAACUGCGGUGAACGGAGAAUUAGAGCUAGAUCACGCUCUUCCAGGAACAUAAUAACGUGUUUGAUACAUUCAACGUGAGUACCCAGAAGAUUAAAGCGAACUGAAUGCGUUUAGAGAACUCAGAGUUCUGCGUAUUUCCGCGUGUUAAUGGGAAAAAAGAAGCCGCCAUACC